UGUCCAAAACACACAUAGCUCUCAAUAAACAACAAUCAUAAUCUUUUAAUAACUCCUCAUAUAAUUCAAUCACAUAAUAUUCUAAUUACAUAAUCAAUAAAUCAUAAAUCAAUUCCUGAUUUAUUCCACAGACUCACUUCUCAGUAUUCAGAAACUAUCCAUUAUUCUUUAACAACAAAGAAACAAAAAAACAAAGAGGUGGCACCAAGCUUACCCCGGCUCAUGACUAUCACAGUCUAGUACCCCAACAAACUUCUACAACUCUUAUAUAAUUGCUCCUAAUUUCCAGAUCCUAACUGUAAUACUAUAAUAACCACUUUUAAUAAUUAAAUCAAUCAUCCGUCCUCCUGAACUGACUAUUCUAUGGACUAUUAGUCUAUUUUACCAAUAUCUUACAGAAACAAACUAAUAUCUAUUCUACAUAGCCCCACUCCUAUCUGUGUAGCAUCCUCGCAAACAUACAAUUGAUUCCUAUCUAAAAACUACUUAACAAAAUUCUACAAAGUUAAUAUUUCCUUUGAUCCAUCCAAUUGAUCAUUUGCUGCAUUAUCGAAUGUAGGUUCCAUCGAUUCUGAUUCUAAAUUCAAAUCUUCCUCUUCUUUCAAUCUAUCCAUCGACUCCUUUUUCAACUGAUUUGAUAGAUCAUCAUUAUAUGCUCCCAAUUCACUGUCUUGAGCUUCCAAUUUUAAGAUCUGGACAUCACAGAGUUCCAACUGAUGUUGCUGCUGAUUCAUCCAUUCUAGAACAUCUUCAAUUAACACUUGUGACCGGCUCCUCACUGUUAACUCUUUUGUCAAUUUUGUCACCUCAGCUUAUAAAACUUUGAUUUCGGACCUCAACUUCUACAUUUUACAUCUGGAUUGAUCACUCAAUGCCGCUUUCUCUUUCGUUAAUAACUCUGACUUGUCUCCUUCUACUUGCAACUGGCAUUUGAAUAUCUCUCGUUUCAAAUCCCAUGUCUUGUGAUUCUGAAUCAAUUCGUCCCAUUGUCUUCUACAAUCAGUAAGAUGUAUUCUUUUUCUUCUGUCCAAGCUUCUUGUUUCUUUAAAAAUCUCCUCUCUAAUGUCAACUUGGAUUCUGCAUUCUCUUAGAGUAUCCAUUCUUUCUCUGUAAUUUUUUUUUUUCGGUUCUGCUCUGAUAUCACCUUCUUACUU
rnacentral:lncRNA from 1 species